rnacentral:lncRNA from 1 species
GCAGUGUGAAUCCCUGGAAGGCAAGAUCGCCAUUCUGGUCUCUUGUGGAUAUCAAUGCUGAUCUCAGCUUCUGAUGCACGGCAGUCAAUUAAUAAAUGAUUGUUGCCUGAAAAACUGAGCCCCAAAACAAUAUUACAAGUUUAAUAUCAGUAAAGGAUUUAAUGCUUUCUAACAUGAAGAUACCAGGAGUUGCUGAUUUUUGUAUAACCCAGAGAUGGAUUUAAAUGCAGAGUGUAUGAACUUCUUCAUUCCUGAGGGAGGACUUAUGAUUUCAUGAGAAAUGCCCUAGGAAAGGGGCCGGGGAGACUGAUGGAGAAGAAGAGUUUGGGAGGGAAGCCCCAAGGACCAUCUGCCCCAUCAGAGUCACAUGCAGAGGGUCCUGCUCCUGCCGUUGGAAGUUGGCUUCCUGAGCUGCUGAACGUGCCAGUCCUGCUGACCCACUCUCAGAUAUCACAGGCACCCGCUGUGUCUGACAGAGACCUUUCUGCAAGUACACGUGCAGGUCUGCUCUGCAAAGGCGUUAUCAUCUGCAGAUUAUUGCACAGAGUGGCUACGAGCUGUGGUGUGAUCCUGUCACAGAGAGAGCCUGGUCACGUUUUCAGAACAGCAGGAAACAGGUACACCUGUAAGCUUAUACUUAUCAGAUUUAAAAAUAAAACAAAAAAUCCAUGCUAUUCCAUGAAAAUCGGACUCAAAUAAACUUAGUCACUGAUCUGUGAAGUAAAUAAUCUGAUGGUAAUGCAUCAGUUGACACUUGGGCCUGGGUUUUUAGGCACUAAUGAAAGCCAGGGGCAAAAUAAUUUUUAAUCUACCAUUAUUUC